rnacentral:rRNA from 1 species
GACGAACGCUGGCGGCGUGCUUAACACAUGCAAGUCGAACGGAAAGGCCCUGCUUUUGUGGGGUGCUCGAGUGGCGAACGGGUGAGUAACACGUGAGUAUCCUGCCCUUGACUUUGGGAUAACUUCAGGAAACUGGGGCUAAUACCGGAUAGGAGCGCCUGCUGCAUGGGGGGGGUUGGAAAGUUUCGGCGGUUGGGGCUGGACUCGCGGCUUAUCAGCUGGUGGGUGGGGUAGUGGCUUACCAAGGCUUUGACGGGUAGCCGGCCUGAGAGGGUGACCGGCCACAUGGGGACUGCGAUACGGCCCAGACUCCUACGGGCGGCAGCAGGGGGGAAUAUUGCACAAUGGGCGGACGCCUGAUGCAGAAGCGCCGCGUGCGGGAUGACGGCCUUCGGGUUGUAAACCGCUUUCGCCUGUGACGAAGCGUGAGUGACGGUAAUGGGUAAAGAAGCACCGGCUAACUACGUG